rnacentral:rRNA from 1 species
AUUGAACGCUGGCGGCAUGCUUUACACAUGCAAGUCGAACGGUAACAGGUCUUCGGAUGCUGACGAGUGGCGAACGGGUGAGUAAUGUAUCGGAACGUGCCCAGUAGUGGGGGAUAACUACUCGAAAGAGUGGCUAAUACCGCAUGAGAACUGAGGUUGAAAGCGGGGGACCUUCGGGCCUCGCGCUACUGGAGCGGCCGAUAUCAGAUUAGGUAGUUGGUGGGGUAAAGGCCUACCAAGCCGACGAUCUGUAGCUGGUCUGAGAGGACGACCAGCCACACUGGGACUGAGACACGGCCCAGACUCCUACGGGAGGCAGCAGUGGGGAAUUUUGGACAAUGGGGCGAAAGCCUGAUCCAGCCAUGCCGCGUGAGUGAAGAAGGCCUUCGGGUUGUAAACUGCUUUGUACGGAACGAAACGGUACUGGGCUAAUACCCCGGGCGUAAUGACGGUACCGUAAGAAUAAGACACCGGCUAACUACGUG